AGAGUUUGAUCCUGGCUCAGAACGAACGCUGGCGGUAGGCUUAACACAUGCAAGUCGAGCGCCCAGCAAUGGGAGCGGCGGACGGGUGAGUAACACGUGGGAACAUGCCUUUCGGUACGGAACAACUGCGGGAAACUGCAGCUAAUGCCGUAUGCGCCCUUACGGGGAAAGAUUUAUCGCCGAAAGAUUGGCCCGCGUCUGAUUAGCUAGUUGGUGAGGUAAUGGCUCACCAAGGCUUCGAUCAGUAGCUGGUUUGAGAGAACGACCAGCCACACUGGGACUGAGACACGGCCCAGACUCCUACGGGAGGCAGCAGUGGGGAAUCUUGGACAAUGGGGGCAACCCUGAUCCAGCCAUGCCGCGUGAGUGAUGAAGGCCUUCGGGUUGUAAAACUCUUUUACCAGGGAAGAUAAUGACUGUACCUGGAGAAUAAGCCCCGGCUAACUUCGUGCCAGCAGCCGCGGUAAUACGAAGGGGGCUAGCGUUGUUCGGAAUUACUGGGCGUAAAGCGUGCGCAGGCGGCUUCUCAAGUCAGGGGUGAAAGCCCAGAGCUCAACUCUGGAAUUGCCUUUGAAACUGUGAGGCUUGAGUACGAGAGAGGUAAGUGGAAUUCCCAGUGUAGAGGUGAAAUUCGUAGAUAUUGGGAAGAACACCAGUGGCGAAGGCGGCUUACUGGCUCGUAACUGACGCUCAUGCACGACAGCGUGGGGAUCAAACAGGAUUAGAUACCCUAGUAGUCC
rnacentral:rRNA from 1 species